CGGGGAGCAGCCCAGAGCCUGAAUCAGUGUGUGUGUUAGUGGAAGCGUCUGGAAAGGCGUGCGAUACAGGGUGACAGCCCCGUACACAAAAAUGCACAUAUUGUGAGCUCGAUGAGUAGGGCGGGACACGUGGUAUCCUGUCUGAAUAUGGGGGGACCAUCCUCCAAGGCUAAAUACUCCUGACUGACCGAUAGUGAACCAGUACCGUGAGGGAAAGGCGAAAAGAACCCCGGCGAGGGGAGUGAAAAAGAACCUGAAACCGUGUACGUACAAGCAGUGGGAGCACGCUUAGGCGUGUGACUGCGUACCUUUUGUAUAAUGGGUCAGCGACUUAUAUUCUGUAGCAAGGUUAACCGAAUAGGGGAGCCGAAGGGAAACCGAGUCUUAACUGGGCGUUAAGUUGCAGGGUAUAGACCCGAAACCCGGUGAUCUAGCCAUGGGCAGGUUGAAGGUUGGGUAACACUAACUGGAGGACCGAACCGACUAAUGUUGAAAAAUUAGCGGAUGACUUGUGGCUGGGGGUGAAAGGCCAAUCAAACCGGGAGAUAGCUGGUUCUCCCCGAAAGCUAUUUAGGUAGCGCCUCGUGAAUUCAUCUCCGGGGGUAGAGCACUGUUUCGGCAAGGGGGUCAUCCCGACUUACCAACCCGAUGCAAACUGCGAAUACCGGAGAAUGUUAUCACGGGAGACACACGGCGGGUGCUAACGUCCGUCGUGAAGAGGGAAACAACCCAGACCGCCAGCUAAGGUCCCAAAGUCAUGGUUAAGUGGGAAACGAUGUGGGAAGGCCCAGACAGCCAGGAUGUUGGCUUAGAAGCAGCCAUCAUUUAAAGAAAGCGUAAUAGCUCACUGGUCGAGUCGGCCUGCGCGGAAGAUGUAACGGGGCUAAACCAUG
rnacentral:rRNA from 1 species